rnacentral:rRNA from 1 species
GGACUACUGGGGUAUCUAAUCCUGUUUGCUCCCCACGCUCUCGCGCCUCAGCGUCAGUGUCAGUCCAGGUAGCCGCCUUCGCCACUGGUGUUCCUUCCGAUAUCUACGCAUUUCACCGCUACACCGGAAAUUCCACUACCCUCUACCACACUCUAGUCACACAGUUUUGGAUGCAGUUCCUAGGUUAAGCCCAGGGAUUUCACAUCCAACUUACAUGACCGCCUACGCGCCCUUUACGCCCAGUAACUCCGAUUAACGCUUGCACCCUCUGUAUUACCGCGGCUGCUGGCAC